rnacentral:lncRNA from 1 species
GAAAGCAAGUAAUAAAUUAGCAUGGUUUCUUUUGAACUGCUUCAA